GGCUGGGAUAGAGAAGCAAAUUGGAUGGGUAAAUUUCCAGUUACUGUGGACAUUAGUAACCACACUGCACUUCACCAUUGACCGGAUCACUUGCCACCCUUAAAUGCAGUGGCUAUGAAUUGCCUGGCUUUCUCUCAGUACACACAGCUCUGCAGGAUCCCAGGCUGGAAGAGAGACAUCUAUUUUCUGGAUCUGGUUCAACUGUUCUGGGGAAGAGCUAUUCUGCUAUCCACAGCUGAUUUCAUCUCUAAAUCAUAGAAAUUUUACACUUCUGCGGCUUCAGGAAUGCACAAAGUCUGCCCUGUGAGACUAACUGAAAACAGACAGCCACAUAAUGAGUCCAGAGGGGUUUAUGGAGAAAAGGGGUUUAUGGAGUAAUGAGGAAAUCGCUUACUUGAUGGAAGUCUAGUCAAAAAUAGUAUCAAGGAAGCAGCACUUUUACUUAAGCAUUUUGUAUACCUAUAGCAGGUGGGUCUGACCAAGGAAUAUCCAGAUUGGGAUUUCAGCUUUGAGGUUCAAAAAGGGAGGGUGGUGGUUCCAGCUCAAUAUGAACAAGACAUAGG